UGGGAGUAACUAUCUACCUAUCUAUCAGUGGAACUAAGAAGGUGAACAAGGAUCUCAGCCUUCAUAACCUUUGGAUAGUUCGACUAUGAGGAAUGCUCUGAACUGUCUCCCAGAGGUUUUGGUCAGUUAGGCAAUCAUCCUUGACAGUCUGAUAAUCAUAGGUUCUCACUGGAUUACGUCCCUGAAUACAAAGACUUUUAAGAGAAACUUAAGGAGUGUAUCUGUGAAGGAUAUAUUUAAAAAUAUUUUGUGUAGGGGCUGGCACUGUGGCACAGUGGGUUAAUGCCCUGGCCUGAAGCACUGGCAUCCCAUAUGGACGCCGGUUCUAGUCUCUGCUGCUCCAC
rnacentral:lncRNA from 1 species